rnacentral:lncRNA from 1 species
AAAAGAUCCAAUACACUCUUCUGGCUUCCUUAGACAUUUGCACAAACUAUCCAUGCACACACACACACACACACACACACACACACACACACACACACUAGAAAGAAAAUUCUUCUUAUGAUAUGACACACAUAGAGGAAGUGGUGAGCAAGCUGACUCAUGUAGAAUCCAGAUUCAGACUACAAUGUCAAGAGGUCCAAGCAUGUCAGAUGUGACAGCGUGGGGUGACUGCACAUUAUGAAGGUGGUGGUGGAUGCACACACAUCAGUGAUUAAGAUAUGCUACAACAACUUCCAAAGCAGGGUGAUUACAGAGUCAUAGUUUUGCUAUUUUGCAAGGUGACAGGAAGGAAAGGGGCAAUUUGUAAACAUUCCAAAUAUACUUAAUGUCAUGAUGACUGUUCUCGAUCCCAAAUGGGUGUGUUACAGAGUCCUCUGCUUGAGGGAUUAAGCUUCUUAGACUUAUUUUCAAAGUUCUUGCUUGAGUCAGUGGGACGGCUUAGCACAUAAAGGAACUCAUGACCUGAGUGUGAUCCUCAGGACCCACGUGAUAGAAGAAAAAACCCCCAGAUUCCCUUCCCCACAUAUCUAAAUAACGGCAAUUGAUAAUUACUUCUUGAGUAUUAACCAACACCAAGAUUUCAAAGACAGCUGCGGAGGCUUGACUCAGCCCUUAAGCUACAAUUUUGCCAAUGCCAAUGUCUUGAGUGUGGGCCCUAACUUCAGCCAACUGCAGUGGUUUGGAGGGACCACUGCAUUCACCGCUGCCUCUGUGGCCCAGGGAUCAUGUGCACACCAGGGUUGAGUACUUACAUCAGAGUGGGGAGAGGGCAGCAUAGACACAGAAGAGACCUUUAUUUUUAUAGUCAUGUCCACUCAAACUUGCAUAGCCACUGACAUAGUACAGGUGCUUAGUGAGGUCCUGAGAGUCACUAGUCAGUAAGGGACACAAAUGGGGACACAGUCUGCCAGCUGCCUCCUCUGUAUGACAGCCAGGAUAGAAGAAGGAGAUAGCUCAAGUUUUUGAAAAUUGCUGCAUAAAGAACGGGCCAUAUAUGCUACUGUUGAACCUAGCUUAUGUGGGAGGUUUUAGUUGGCUGGGUUUGAGGUUUGGUUUGGUUGGGUGAGUGGGUGGGUAUUUGUGUGUGUGGGUUGAUUUGGUUGGUUGGUUUGCUGGUUGGGGAGGGUGACCUUAAAGUGGAAAAGUGAAUGAAAAAUGCAAUAUUGAGAUAAAGUCCUAUUCUUUAGCAUGGACACAGAUUUCUGGGAUUUGCAAACAGACUGAAUUAAGUAACUUCAGUGACUCUACGAAAGGAGCUUUCACUUAUUUACCUUGUGAGAGAGUUCUACUCUACAGAGAGGAUUUACUGCCUCCCGCAGCUGUUAAAAGUACCUUUCUCCCAUUUUCAUUAUAAAUUUUAAGUUCAGUUCUCUGAAAGUCAUUAAAUGUGAUCUUCUAUGUUGUCAGAGUUAUUCAUCUUUUGGACUUGUGUUCCAUUAUUAUAAAAUAUUCACGUCGCGUCACCAAAACAUAUUAAGAAUAUAAAUCUUCCUCACAUGCCCUCUGGGAUCUCUACCAUUGCAGUCUUAAUCCCUGAAAGCGCAUGGUCACUGUGACAAUGCUCUAAAUGGUCAUACAGCUCCAUCUUUAUUUGUUUGAGGGUGGCCUGCUGGUGGACACACCUGUAGGGGUCAGAGGGCAACUUCUGGGCAUCAGAUCCUCCCUUCCACCUUUUAGGUUCCAGGUUGGAACUCAACUCAUCAGGCUUGGCAGUCUACCCACGGAGCCAUCUCAACAGCUCAUUAUCCUCAUUCUGAAAUAAGAUCUUUAAUCUGUACCAGGCUUCAUUCCAAUUUCUUCAAACAAACUGGUGGAAAUUUCAGAACACCAAUAAGCAGAGAUCAGUCAGGUCUCUACUAUCUCUCUCUCCAGGAAAUACUAGAGCAACACAGCACAGUACUGGAACAUUCGGCCUUCUGUCCAAGUGUGAGACCGUCGUCCUGUUAUGCACGUGGUUUGGAGUCUGAAGAGCAUUCACUGGGAGUUCUGAGUUCUUUUGGUCUGAAACAAAGACUUGGACCAUGGAAUCAUGAAUAGAGGUAGAAAUGGAGGCUGUUUAUCAAGGAGAAAAACACUUCUGAGAUUGGGCAUGAGCCAGAAAGCUAGUCUUUCACUGAACUUGGAGCUUGCCAUUUCAGCCACACUGUGGGCCAACAAGCCAGAGGAAUGUCCUUGCCUCGUCUCCAGAGCAGAGGCUGCAGCACUGUCCAGUCAGCCUGGAUGGUUCCGAGUUCUGAGGAUGUGUGUUCUGGUUUAAUCCCAAAGCUCUCUCUCCACUUUACGUCCCCGCCACACUCCCCACCCCUGAACCAAGCCAGGAACACUGAGCCGUGGAACCUGAAUUCUGAGGACACAAAACAGCACAGGGGAUCUGAUCCCUUUCCCUCCUACUCAUCCC